ACAACCAUGUCACGUUGAAACACCGAUUCUCAUCUGAUUACCACAGUUAAGCAAUGCCAAGCCUGGUCAGUAUCUAGAUGGGUGACCGCUUGGGAAUAUCAGGUGCUGUAA